rnacentral:lncRNA from 1 species
CUUGCUAAACCCGACCAGAUGAUUGCCACACUAAUCUAAUCGCGAGUGAGAUCUCAGGCCUAGCACACUCUAUUUGUCAUGCAGGGCAAGGUCUCCAUCAUGGGCAGCAUGGAUGCAUCGAGCCGCACCGCACUUUCCAUUCCUGCAAUCUCACUUGAUUGUCGAGCGCGCGCGCACCGGGCGAUCCAUCGAUCGGUGUCGAAGAGGCGGCGAUGAUGACGUCCCCCUUGUACGCGUGCCGCGUGCGGUGCCGUAUCAUACACUUCACCGUAUGGUUUAGGUUUACGCCCCCCCCCCCCCCCCCCCCCCCCCCCCC